UACGAAGGGGGCUAGCGUUGUUCGGAAUUACUGGGCGUAAAGCGCACGUAGGCGGACUAUUAAGUCAGGGGUGAAAUCCCGGGGCUCAACCCCGGUACGCACUGGAAACUGGGCGACUGGAGUGCAGAAGAGGAGAGUGGAAUUCCACGUGUAGCGGUGAAAUGCGUAGAUAUGUGGAGGAACACCAGUGGCGAAGGCGACUCUCUGGUCUGUAACUGACGCUGAGGCGCGAAAGCGUGGGGAGCAAACAGG
rnacentral:rRNA from 1 species